GUCACAUGCUUGUGCAGUCUCCACCCUGUGAAUCUAUGAUACCUCAUAAUGAAUAGAAUUUGGCAAAAGACGAACUACACAAAAAGGAUCUUAAUGACCCAGACAACCAUGAUGGUGUGGUGAGUCACGACAGCCUGACAGCCUGGAGUCAAGUCAAGUGAGACUUAGGGAUUAUUACUACAAAAAAGAUGAUGUUGUCAAGAAAGGGUUCUGACCCUAGAAACACUACUGAACAACUUGGGAGUUGGUUAUCCUGCAUUUAUUCUCUUCCUUUCCUGGAACACUUGAUAUGUUCCUAGCCACUGAAUAAGCCCAUCCCAAGAACUUUGUCUGGUUAUUUUGCAAAGCAAAAGAUUUAGGGGGCCACUGCAUGGAUGCAGUCGGGUUCCCCUGGAAAACAUUAGAAGUAAUCCUGCAUGAAAGGAAGGAUCAGCCAGUCUCCCUAAAUCAUCAAGAUCAAUGAGGGCGUCCUCUUCAAAACAUUUCAAUUUUUCUGAAUUACCCUUCUUGUGACCAAAGAAGGAUGAAUUUAGAUAAAAGGUAACUAUGAUUCUAAAGUCAAGACUG